CACGUAGGGCGCAAGCGUUGUCCGGAUUUAUUGGGCGUAAAGAGCGUGUAGGCGGCCAGACAGGUCCGUUGUGAAAACUGGAGGCUCAACCUCCAGACGUCGAUGGAAACCGUCUGGCUAGAGUCCGGAAGAGGAGAGUGGAAUUCCUGGUGUAGCGGUGAAAUGCGCAGAUAUCAGGAAGAACACCCGUGGCGAAAGCGGCUCUCUGGGACGGUACUGACGCUGAGACGCGAAAGCGUGGGGAGCGAACAGG
rnacentral:rRNA from 1 species